rnacentral:lncRNA from 1 species
CCAAGUCCAAGUAUGGUCAUUCAUGUAAUGCGUGGACUUUAAUGAAGUAAAAAUUGAAAGAAUUUUUGAACCCCAAAUAAUAGUCCCUGAAGUCCAAGUGUAGAUAUUUAUAUCAGAGUUGGAAUUAGAAAUGUGUUGCCGUGGGUGAACGAUGAAGAGACCGAGGCUGUGUUGAUGUUGAAUGAGGAGCCGAGGUGGUUGGG